rnacentral:lncRNA from 1 species
UCUUGGAAUUACGGUGGCCUAGUAGUAGUAUAUUUGAUACUAUAUUAUCCGUGUAACGAUCCGACUCGCUAACAACAAUAACUUGUUGGGCCCAAACCAUCGGUCCAAAUGUUUAGGCCCAAUUAUUAUUACUAGCAUGUAGACCUCAUAUAUUCUAAUCAGAAUUAUUUUUUCAUCCGAUGUGGGACUAUUGGGGUACUACAAACUACCCCCUGUUUAGACCUUGACGUCCUCGUCGGGUCCAAACUAGAUCACAAAUGCAGACUAGAAUUACCAGACGAUGUGAGAUUCUAGAGAUGACUCCUAUAGGUUCAAGAGGUGGCUCCCACCAAACCCGUUGGUGUAGCACUUUGCCUCGCAUAACACUUAGCUCUCACAGUUCCAGCUGAUAUACGGCUUUGAUACCAAUUGUAACGAUCCGACCCGCUAGCAAUAAUAACUCGUUAGGUCCAAACCACCAGCCCAAAAGCCCAAAAUAUUUAAACAUUGUUAUUAUUACUAGCGUGUAGACUUCAUAUAUUCUAAUCAAAAUCAUUUUCUCAUCCAAUGUGGGAUUAUUGGGUUGUUACAACCCAAAAAAUC